GUCGUAACAAGGUUUCCGUAGGUGAACCUGCGGAAGGAUCAUUACCACACCAAGAUCCACGAUCUUUCUUUUUGUGACUUUGGUUGGUCUCGACGGAAAAUUACACAGACGGUGUAGUUGUCGAGUCGCCGACUGGCCCAACAAUGUAAACCUGGUGCUCCCUUGGUCUCUUUUGCGCCUUGCAGAAAGGAACUUGAUCCGCUUGAGGACCAAGGCAGAAGAGAUACAGGAGCACCCUCCUAAAAGAAUUAUGUGCCGGACCCAAACUAUCUAAAGAAAAGCGUUUGUGUCGACCAUCGAUGCACGCUAAUCUAGAAAUUCAUUUACAACUUUCAACAACGGAUCUCUUGGCUCUC
rnacentral:misc_RNA from 1 species